rnacentral:rRNA from 1 species
GAUGAACGCUGGCGGCGUGCCUAAUACAUGCAAGUCGAGCGAACGGACGAGAAGCUUGCUUCUCUGAUGUUAGCGGCGGACGGGUGAGUAACACGUGGAUAACCUACCUAUAAGACUGGGAUAACUUCGGGAAACCGGAGCUAAUACCGGAUAAUAUUUUGAACCGCAUGGUUCAAAAGUGAAAGACGGUCUUGCUGUCACUUAUAGAUGGAUCCGCGCUGCAUUAGCUAGUUGGUAAGGUAACGGCUUACCAAGGCAACGAUGCAUAGCCGACCUGAGAGGGUGAUCGGCCACACUGGAACUGAGACACGGUCCAGACUCCUACGGGAGGCAGCAGUAGGGAAUCUUCCGCAAUGGGCGAAAGCCUGACGGAGCAACGCCGAGUGAGUGAUGAAGGUCUUCGGAUCGUAAAACUCUGUUAUUAGGGAAGAACAUAUGUGUAAGUAACUGUGCACAUCUUGACGGUACCUAAUCAGAAAGCCACGGCUAACUACGAG